AUAUCUUCCAUAAACGAGAUUGGAGUAGCAGAAGCAAUAAAUAUAGUCACAUCAAUUGCUUUCUUGAUAGCUUUUGCUAUACUCAGGAUUCAACCAGUAAACGACAUAGCCUACUUCCCUAAAUGGUAUCUCAAGGGCCUAAGAACUAGCUCCAUACAAACUGGUGGCUUUGGAAGCAAGUUCAUCAACUUGGACUUCAUGUCCUAUGUUUGAUUCCUCAACUGGAUGCCUGAAGCACUUCAAAUGCCAGAACCAGAGCUCGUCAGAUCUCGAUUAUGUUGUCUACUUGAGGAUCUACGUACUCGGGUUCAAGAAUUUUUCUCCAUAGCUUGCGUUGCUUUUACAACAAUGGUGCAUGUUAAUUGGAAAAACAAGGGAUUGGAUGGAUUAAAACACUCUAAUAUAAGCUACAGUGAUAUUGAUAAGCUUUCAUUGUCAAAUAUACCAAAUGGAUCAGACAUGUGAGCUAUACAUUUCCCAGAGUUUGGUUCUUUUUCUUCUUUGUUCCAUUGGUGUAAUGGUUAUUCAUUUUCCUAUAGAUUUUGGGUGCAUCUCUGUAUGGCUUAUGCAAUCACCUUCUGGACAUGCUUAAUGCUGAAAAGAGAGUAUUAGAAUAUAGCACGCUUCAGUUUCUU